UACGGAGGAUGCAAGCGUUAUCCGGAAUUAUUGGGCGUAAAGCGUCCGCAGGUGGCCUCUCAAGUCUGCUGUCAAAGCGUGGUGCUCAACACCAUAAAGGCAGUGGAAACUGAGGAGCUAGAGGCCGGUAGGGGUAGCGGGAAUUCCCAGUGUAGCGGUGAAAUGCGUAGAGAUUGGGAAGAACAUCGGUGGCGAAGGCGACACUCUGGCUCGGUACUGACGCUGAGGCGCGAAAGCGUGGGGAGCAAACAGG
rnacentral:rRNA from 1 species